rnacentral:rRNA from 1 species
UCCGUAGGUGAACCUGCGGAAGGAUCAUUACAAUUCAGUAGCUUGCUACUGGUCGGGAGGUGCUGUAAGUCCGCAUAGUUUAAUUACUGAUGAGCGGCGAGCCCUCUGUCUGUACCCUUGUCUUUUGCGCACUCAUGUUUCCUCGGCGGGCUUGCCCGCCGACUGGACAAACUUAUAACCUUUUUUAAUUUUCAAUCAGCGUCUGAAAAAACUUAAUAAUUACAACUUUCAACAACGGAUCUCUUGGUUCUGGCAUCGAUGAAGAACGCAGCGAAAUGCGAUAAGUAUGUGAAUUGCAGAAUUCAGUGAAUCAUCGAAUCUUUGAACGCACAUUGCGCCCCUUGGUAUUCCGGGAGGCAUGCCUGUCUGAGCGUCAGCUCGUCUUCUCAAGCUCUUUUGCUUGGAUAACCUUAAGGAAGCAUGUUCGCUGCAACUUGCUCCUUAGAAAUUCAUAGGCGGUACGGUUCUAGCAAACCAGACGUAAUAAUACUCUUAUAUGUCGUCCUUUGUAUAGUGCUGUUGCUUGCCUCUUUAAUCCACAUCUUUAUUCAAGAUGGACCUCAGGAUCAGGGGGUAGGGGGGGGAUACCCCGGCUGGAACUUAAGGCAUAUCAAUAAGGCGGGGGAGGGGAAGGUCGGACUG